rnacentral:rRNA from 1 species
UACGAAGGGGGCUAGCGUUGCUCGGAAUCACUGGGCGUAAAGCGCACGUAGGCGGCUUUUUAAGUCAGGGGGUGAAAUCCUGGAGCUCAACUCCAGAACUGCCUUUGAUACUGAGAGCUUGAGUCCGGGAGAGGUGAGUGGAACUGCGAGUGUAGAGGUGAAAUUCGUAGAUAUUCGCAAGAACACCAGUGGCGAAGGCGGCUCACUGGCCCGGUACUGACGCUGAGGUGCGAAAGCGUGGGGAGCAAACAGG